rnacentral:rRNA from 1 species
CGAGCGAAUGGAUUGAGAGCUUGCUCUCAAGAGGUUAGCGGCGGACGGGUGAGUAACACGUGGGUAACCUGCCCAUAAGACUGGGAUAACUCCGGGAAACCGGGGCUAAUACGCGGAUAACAUUUUGAACUGCAUGGUUCGAAAUUGAAAGGCGGCUUCGGCUGUCACUUAUGGAUGGACCCGCGUCGCAUUAGCUAGUUGGUGAGGUAACGGCUCACCAAGGCAACGAUGCGUAGCCGACCUGAGAGGGUGAUCGGCCACACUGGGACUGACACACGGCCCAGACUCCUACGGGAGGCAGCAGUAGGGAAUCUUCCGCAAUGGACGAAAGUCUGACGGAGCAACGCCGCGUGAGUGAUGAAGGCUUUCGGGUCGUAAAACUCUGUUGUUAGGGAAGAACAAGUGCUAGUUGAAUAAGCUGGCACCUUGACGGUACCUAACCAGAAAGCCACGGCUAACUACGUGCCAGCAGCCGCGGUAAUACGUAGGUGGCAAGCGUUAUCCGGAAUUAUUGCGCGUAAAGCGCGCGCAGGUGGUUUCUUAAGUCUGAUGUGAAAGCCCACGGCUCAACCGUGG